CUGGUCGGCUUGAAGGAAUGUGAACUUAGGCUGAGUUGGCAGCACAGAGAUUUUCAAGUGUGACAUCACCUCCCAGUCGGGAAAGCUGAUGAAGUCUGAUCCCAGCCUGAAAGUUGUGAUUUCCCCUGGGUCUCUGGAAUUCUGGGUGUUCCUGGAUUUGCCAGAGAUAUUCUGUUGCUGUCAGCAGUGUGAGUCUUGGAGCUCCAUUUUCCCUUCUCACCUUACUGCCGCAUGAGAAUUCACAGGCCACUGGCAGGAUGGGAGACUUCUAGCCAGCCUCCGGAUUGCAGGAAACAACGAAGGAGCUGAGCUCUGUGACCAGUUUCGAUACCAGCUGAAACCGAAACAUGAGCAGAUACGCAAGAGCAAAGAAUCAGAAGAUGCCAGAAGCGAGAGUACUAAAUGAAGAUACUAUCUGCUGCCUGGAUUUGUCUUGUGAGACACGAGUGUUUCCAGAACCUGGGAGAAGCACACAGUGCCCUGUUGGAGAACCCAUUGGCAAGGUGGUUAAGGCAGAGUGUGGGACAGCUGAAGGCAGAUGACUCAGGACCUCUGCACGCAGAGCAAGGAGGCGUCUGUGAGAGGGAGACAAGGCUUACGAAGGGCCUGAUGGAAACUUUGGGAGGAAGAACUAAUGGUGGACCUGGACUUAGGUCUUUGGUUUUUCAGUGAUGAAGGAAGCUGAGAAGAAGACAUUUCAGACUGAGCCCCCGAAACAUAGAAAUAAGAAGAAUAACUCUUAAAACGGUAUUUAGGUACCGCUCUUAAGAAGCUCCUCAGUAACCACACAAUAGGUGGUAAGAACAGCAGGAUUUCCAGUGACCCUGGGCCACUGUCGGGCUUCUCCACCUGGGACCUGCAGACUCACCCUCAGGCAUCCGUGAGUGCUCUGUAAGUACUUCCACAUUUUAUCUUUUCACUUGAUGCCUAUUUGAAAUAAGAUUAAUGUUUGCAGAUUCUGGGUCAUCUGUAUAGCCACUGAGUACCAUAACACAGUUUCAGCUUCUACAUGGGCACUGUGU